rnacentral:rRNA from 1 species
AUUGAACGCUGGCGGCAUGCCUUACACAUGCAAGUCGAACGGUAACGCGGGGCAACCUGGCGACGAGUGGCGAACGGGUGAGUAAUGCAUCGGAACGUGCCCAGUCGUGGGGGAUAACGUAGCGAAAGCUACGCUAAUACCGCAUACGACCUGAGGGUGAAAGCGGGGGACCUGCAAGGGCCUCGCGCGAUUGGAGCGGCCGAUGGCAGAUUAGGUAGUUGGUGGGAUAAAAGCUUACCAAGCCGACGAUCUGUAGCUGGUCUGAGAGGACGACCAGCCACACUGGGACUGAGACACGGCCCAGACUCCUACGGGAGGCAGCAGUGGGGAAUUUUGGACAAUGGGCGAAAGCCUGAUCCAGCCAUGCCGCGUGCAGGAAGAAGGGCCUUCGGGUUGUAAACUGCUUUAGUCUAGGAAAAGGGUAGGCGAGGUUAAUACCCUACGUGCUUUGAUGGUACUGGAAGAAGUAAGCACCGGCUAACUACGUGCCAGCAGCCGCGGUAAGAGU